rnacentral:sRNA from 1 species
ACCGCCACGGACGGCGGUGGUUUAACAGAAUUGAGUUUGAAAACUACCAUAGUGUACUCGGAGUUUUCAAACUCAUAGGUUUGGUUUUGACAUGGACGUCAAAACCAAACCGUUG